GACGCUCUGGCCGAGUGGUUAAGGCGUUGGACUGCUAAUCCAAUGGGGUUUCCCCGCGUGAGUUCGAAUCUCACGGGCGUCG
rnacentral:tRNA from 1 species